rnacentral:lncRNA from 1 species
CUAACAUUCAAAUGAAGUAAAUGAAUUGUGUAGGAUAUUAACCCCUUAAAUGUUUUGUUUGUUUUUUUAAAUUUCUUGACCCGCUCUUAGAUGAUGGUGAUGUUUAUCUCCCUGUUCUCGGCAGCCCGAAAAGAAUGGCAUGCAGCCUCUCCUGCUCCUCCUGCCGCCUCUCCUGUACCAACAGCUUCUCCACCCAAGCCUGGGUGCUCCUGGGGAGUCCUGCAUUAGAGGAAGCAGCUGCUGGAUCUACUGUGCAGUGGGGUUGUCAUGGGGGAGAACCCUCCCUGUCCUCUCCCGGUGCAGCCUCCAUGCUAUCAGUGAGGCUCACUAAGAUCUUCAGAGAGAGGGAGGGGGGUGGGAAUCUGAGCACAGUGCGAGCCUCCCCUGCUCCUGCCUGCCCACCCCGCCUGAGGGCUCUACUCAUCACUCUGCUUGUCCGCACACCCAAGCUCCUGUGGGACUGGUGCUCAGAUACUGGUCUGGCUGCUGCUGCAGACUGGGAGCCUCUUGGCUCUUCAGCUCCACCUGCCGGAAGACCCUGGGCAUGAGGACAUGUGGUGGCUGGCUUCCAGAUUCCUGGCCCAUUAAUAGGGUAGCGAGGGCACUGUGGGGCUCUGUGGCCUGCCCAGGCCCCUGGCCCCUUGCUCCAGGCCUAAGAGACUGGCUCCCUUGCCUAGAACCCCAUGCCUCCUUCCCUAGCAUCAAAUCUCACGUCCUUUUUCCCAGCAUUUAAACUGUAGGCCACAGACUGGUGGAAAAGCAGGCGGAGCCAACCACCAUCUGCUAAGUGUGCUACAUGCCUAAUGUUUCCACGUAUUAUCUCAUUUAAUCCUCAGGACCUCUGCAAGGAAAAGGCUAACUUCCUUUUGAAGUUAAAGAAACAGAGACUUAGAGAUGCAAAGUAGUUGAAUUAUGACCAGUGGAACCGAGGCCGGAAUCCAGUUUGAAUCUAAGGAGUCUUUUUUGUUUUUCUGUUUUGUUUUGUUUUGUUUUGAGAGAGUGUCACUCUGUGUCCCAGGCUGCAGUGCAGUGGUGCAAUCUCAGCUCACUGCAACCUUCACCUCCCGGGCUCAAGUGAUUCUCGUGUCUCAGCCUCCCGAGUAGCUGGGAUUACAGGCAUGCACCACCAGGCCCGGCUAAUUAUUAUUAUUAUUUUUAAUUUUAGUAGAGAUGAGCUUUCACCAUGUUGGCCUCAAACUCCUGACCUCAAGUGAUUGUCCUGCUUCAGACUCCCAAAGUGCUGGGAUUGCAGGCGUGAGCCACUACACCCGACAUAAGGAGCCUCUUAUACCACUGUCUCUUCCUCUGUGAUUGGGGGGCUCCAUGCCUCUAGCUGGGAUGAUGAUGUCCAGACCUGGGAGGACCCCAGGGCUACCCACCUCUAAAAGUCAGAGGGCAGGAAGCAAGAAACAGUCAUAGGACUGCCCCGGAGGGUGCUGGGGUCACCUGUCCCCAGGCUGCAGCUGCCUGUGGCCUGGCACCUCCCCUCCCCAGAGGCUGGUGCCCGCCUCCCACAUCUUCUUGGAUGGGUCGGAGGUUACAGUCUCUUUCAGCUCACCCGACUUCUUCAGCUCCUUUACUUGCUGCUCCAACUGCAGUGUGCUCUUGUUCUCGUUGUUCUGGACAGAGAGAAGCAAUCAGUGGCCACCCACUAAAACUGGAGACCCCAGAACUUAGUGUCUGCCUCCCAUGGCACCGGGAAGGGUGGAGGCAGGUGGGGAAACAAAGGCCUUGAGGGUUAGGGAAGAGGGCAGCCUCCCCAGGUGGAACGCACCAGCUCCUCGAAGCCGCUGCGUGACUCGGCCCGCUGCUCGUAGAGGGCUUCCCACCCCAGCUCCAGCAUCCUCUCCAGCUCCCGCAGCCUCUCCAGCUCCUGCAGAGUCUCCUGCUGCCACAGCCUCUCAUCCUCUUGCCGAAGCCUCUCCUGCUCCAGGAGCUCCUCCACCUCGUCCAGCAGCCUCUCCCUCUCCAGCAGCCUCUCCUGCUCCUCCUGCCGCCUCUCCUGUUCUAACAGCUUCUCCACCUCUUCCAGCAGCCUCUCCUGCCCUGGCAGCUUCUCCCGUUCACACAGCCUCUCCUCCUGUUCACACAGCCUCUCCUCCUGUUCACACAGCCUCUCCUCCUGUUCACGUAGCCUCUCCUCCUGUCUCCUGUUCAGGAGACUCAACAUCUGAUUGUUUUCCACCUCAGCCUGGAGCUGUCUUCCCACACUCUCUAGCUCCUUCCUUAGGUGGUUGGUCUCAUCUUGUAGCUGCUCCACCUUAGAUGGCCCUGCUGGGGGCUCUGGGGCCAGGGGUUCAGCUGAGAAAGGAAGCAGACAAUAAGGGCCUCUAGAGUUAAAAAAAAAAAAAAAAAAAAAUCCUCCCUUCGGUGCACAGCUCCUCCUCUCAGGCUUCCCAAACUUGGCCUCACUGCUAAUGACUCCUCACACCCGGAUGGUAGCCAAUCUUCCAAGUCACUUUCAGAUAGAGAGCACUGUGGGUGGCGGACAAUGGGCACUCCUCCCACUUUACUGAUGGGGACACUGAGGCUCAUGGAGAUGACAAGACUUGUCCUCCCCUGGCACAGACCUCUUUCCCUCUGCCUCAAAGCCCUUCCAUCCACCCACCUCCCUGGGGCAUUCUAAGUCACCCUCACAGCCCUCUAAUGCCAGUCCUGCUGCCAGGUCAUGCCAGCCCCAUCUUACCCGUCUGGUUUUUGAGUUUGAACAAGCUCCUCCCAAGCUUCUGUACCCGAUGUAUCUCAUGCUUCUUCUCCUCCUUAGAUGUGCGAACCUGCCCAAAGCAAAGGGGGAAAAGGGCCCUGGAGGGAGGGGCUGGUGAACCUCUAGAGACAGAGUUUGAGAAAGGCCCACCCCCCUUCUGCCAGUUUGUGAUUUAGAAACGUGCAUUCAUUCAACAAACAUUUACUGAGCAUGUACAGGCCAGGUACAGUUCUUCAUAGCAGAGAUAUAAAACAGCAAAGGACAGACAGGAGCCCUUGGCCCUGAGGUUUCCAUUCUAGGGGCCUUUAAAUCUCUGACUUUCAGAGCUAACCGAGACCUUUGAUACUCUCUGCCUCCUCCAGAAACACGAGCAUAAAGAGGAGAGAUGACUUGUCCAGACUCAAAAAGCAAAUUAGGGACUGAGGCAGAGCAGAAAUAUGGACCCCUGACAACCAGUCAGGCUAGUGCUUCCCGGAAAGGUGACAACCCCAGGGCAUGUGUGGCAAGGACUAGAGCAGGGGUGUCUGGAGAAGAGAGAGUCAGCAAAGAGGGCAGUGCAGAAGAGCCAUGCUGCAUGUUCUGUGCUCUGGGGUCCCUCCAGGCGAGACCUGGGUGCCCAGCUCCCCAUUUGCCCUUGGCAUCAGGGGCCCCUAGCCCCUUUCUUCAGGGCCCCAAGAGGAAACUGGAGUCCGGGAUUGACCAGCUG